rnacentral:tRNA from 1 species
GGAAUAGUGGUCUAGCGGUUAUGAUUUCGCUUUAACACAGCGAAGGUUCCAGGUUCGAUUCCUGGCUAUUUCA